GACGAAGGAUGCAAGCGUUAUCCGGAUUCAUUGGGCUUAAAGGGCGCGUAGGUGGCCUUGUAAGUCAGUGGUGAAAUCCUGUCGCUUAACGAUAGAAUUGCCAUUGAUACUGCAGGGCUUGAGUACAGUUGCCGUUGGCGGAAUAUGACAUGUAGUGGUGAAAUACAUAGAUAUGUCAUAGAACACCGAUUGCGAAGGCAGCUGACGAAACUGUAACUGACACUGAGGCUCGAAAGUGUGGGGAUCAAACAGG
rnacentral:rRNA from 1 species